rnacentral:rRNA from 1 species
UACGUAGGGUGCGAGCGUUAAUCGGAAUUACUGGGCGUAAAGCGUGCGCAGGCGGUUGUGCAAGUCCGAUGUGAAAUCCCCGGGCUUAACCUGGGAAUGGCAUUGGUGACUGCACGGCUAGAGUGUGUCAGAGGGGGGUAGAAUUCCACGUGUAGCAGUGAAAUGCGUAGAUAUGUGGAGGAAUACCGAUGGCGAAGGCAGCCCCCUGGGAUAACACUGACGCUCAUGCACGAAAGCGUGGGGAGCAAACAGG